UUCCUUGUUUCCCCGCCUAUAUACCACCGUCGUCAGCUUACCCUGUGAAGGCCCUAUAGUAAGCAAAAUUGGCACAGCCCAAAACGUCAGGUCGAGGUGUAGCGUAUGGAAGGGGAAGAAAUGGGCUACAUUCACUUCCUUAGUGAAUACGAACGAUGCAUUGAAACAUACAUCUAAAGGAGGAUUUAGCAGUAAGCAGAAAAUAGAGUGUUCUGCUGAAACUGGCCCUGAAGCGCGCACACACCGCCCGUCACUCUCCCCAAGCUCCCUUAAAUCAAGUAACUAAACACACACAACUGCAAAGGGGAGGCAAGUCGUAACAUGGUAAGUGUACCGGAAGGUGUACUUGGAAAAAU
rnacentral:rRNA from 1 species